rnacentral:lncRNA from 1 species
GUUGCUUCAUUUCUUAGUAUUAUUGCUUGAUUUCUUAGUAUUAUUGUUCUUCUAGAGCAAUUGUUGUAGUAGGUUGCUGCUUUAAUAUUGGCUAUAGACCUCAUCCUACAUUUUUUUGGUAUUAUGGCUUUGUAACGUAUAGUUCAUGCAGUGUACUGCAAGUGCGCGUAGUAGGUCUGGGUAUAUGCUGGGUAUGUGUAGAUGUGGUAUCCAAAUGUAUCCUCUGGCCCAGGUAGGUUCUGUUACUAAAAGGUGAAAACUUGAAGAGAUUUGCUUGAAAUAAUUUUAGAUCCAGAUAGUAAUGUUAAUAACAACACACUGGCUACUUAUCCAAUAUCCUGCUGUACUCAUGAUUGCACAUCCAAACACUAGGUUAUGUUAUCGUAUCUUUGAUUCAACCAAUAAUGUGAUAGGUUAUGUUAUCGUAUCUUUGAGUAUAUGUUGCUCCAUAUUCCAAAACGGAGUACCCAAACAGGGUAGUAAUGCAGCGUUCCAAGCAGUCCCUUAUGGAUCUCACGGACAGUGCAUGAGAAGGGUCAUGGACAAGUUUGCCAGCUAUUAACACGCAGUGCAGUUUUAUAUAAUCAUCCUGAAAAAAGAAAGGCUUACGCAUAAAACUAUAAAUAUCGUGAACUUUAGAAUAUCAUGUAUGCAAAAUAGGAUGAUUUAGAGCUGCUAUCAUGUGAAGUCCACCUCGUGGAAAAUAUAUGAGAGAAUCAGAAUUGAAAUUUUGAAUUUGUUGGAUUUAAUUUUUGAAUCGUCAAAUCUUCAUCCAGUUCAGUUUCCGUAACCAUCACUUGAAAUAAUCAGAAUUUUCAAAUCUUGAUCCAGCUCGGUUUUCUUGUCAAUCAUCUGAGAGAAUUAGAAUUCAAAUUUCACAUUUUUGAAUUUGAGGUUGUAGUUCUUGAAUUUGUUUUGAAAUUAUCA